rnacentral:lncRNA from 1 species
AUCGACUUUACUCUAAGCAACCUCCGAACCUCGUCAAUAUCCUGACUUCUCCAACAGCAGGACUUCUACAGUAACUAGAUUCCAUCCAAAUUUUUACAGUGGUCGACCGCCUUCCGAACUUCUACAGUAAGCAAAUUUUGUCCGAACUUCCAUGAUAAUCGAUCUUCAUUCGAGCUUCUCCAGUGGACAGUCUUCAGAUAAGCUUCUACAUCAGACAAACUCCAGCCGAACUUCUCCAACAGAGAGUCUCCGUCCGGGCUUCUACAGCAGAUGACCUCCGUCUGCAGCAUCAAUGCCUAAGGUC